rnacentral:rRNA from 1 species
UAGCGUAGGGGGCGAGCGUUGUCCGGAUUUAUUGGGCGUAAAGAGCGUGUAGGCGGCCAGGUAGGUCUGCUGUGAAAACUCGAGGCUCAACCUCGAGACGUCGGCGGAAACCAUCUGGCUAGAGUCCGGAAGAGGAGAGUGGAAUUCCUGGUGUAGCGGUGAAAUGCGGCAGAUAUCAGGAAGAACACCCGUGGCGAAGGCGGCUCUCUGGGACGGUACUGACGCUAGACGCGAAAGCGUGGGGAGCGAACAGG